GGCCCCGUAGCUCAGCUGGAUAGAGCGUCCCCCUCCUAAGGAAGAGGGGAAAUUGAGGGGUCACCGCUAUCUUGUUUAACCUGUUGUUUAAUAAGGCCUGGGGUCG
rnacentral:tRNA from 1 species